UGAGGAAUAUUGGUCAAUGGACGAGAGUCUGAACCAGCCAAGUAGCGUGAAGGAUGAAGGUUCUAUGGAUUGUAAACUUCUUUUAUACGGGAAUAAACGGAUCCACGUGUGGAUUUUUGCAUGUACCGUAUGAAUAAGGAUCGGCUAACUCCGUGCCAGUAGCCGCGGUAAUACGGAGGAUCCGAGCGUUAUCCGGAUUUAUUGGGUUUAAAGGGAGCGUAGAUGGGUUGUUAAGUCAGUUGUGAAAGUUUGCGGCUCAACCGUAAAAUUGCAAUUGAUACUGGCAGUCUUGAGUGCAGUUGAGGCAGGCGGAAUUCGUGGUGUAGCGGUGAAAUGCAUAGAUAUCACGAAGAACCCCGAUUGCGAAGGCAGCCUGCUAAGCUGUAACUGACGUUGAGGCUCGAAAGUGUGGGUAUCAAACAGGAUUAGAUACCCUGGUAGUCCACACGGUAAACGAUGGAUACUCGCUGUUGGCGAUAUACUGUCAGCGGCCAAGCGAAAGCAUUAAGUAUCCCACCUGGGGAGUACGCCGGCAACGGUGAAACUCAAAGGAAUUGACGGGGGCCCGCACAAGCGGAGGAACAUGUGGUUUAAUUCGAUGAUACGCGAGGAACCUUACCCGGGCUUAAAUUGCAGACGAAUUACUUGGAAACAGGUAAGCCGCAAGGCGUCUGUGAAGGUGCUGCAUGGUUGUCGUCAGCUCGUGCCGUGAGGUGUCGGCUUAAGUGCCAUAACGAGCGCAACCCUCGUGGCCAGUUACUAGCAGGUAACGCUGAGGACUCUGGCCAGACUGCCAUCGUAAGAUGCGAGGAAGGUGGGGAUGACGUCAAAUCAGCACGGCCCUUACGUCCGGGGCUACACACGUGUUACAAUGGGAGGUACAGAAGGCAGCUACCCGGCGACGGGAUGCCAAUCUCCAAAGCCUCUCUCAGUUCGGACUGGAGUCUGCAACCCGACUCCACGAAGCUGGAUUCGCUAGUAAUCGCGCAUCAGCCACGGCGCGGUGAAUACGUUCCC
rnacentral:rRNA from 1 species